UACUCUUGACAUCCAGAGAAUUCGCUAGAGAUAGCUUAGUGCCUUCGGGAGCUCUGAGACAGGUGCUGCAUGGCUGUCGUCAGCUCGUGUUGUGAAAUGUUGGGUUAAGUCCCGCAACGAGCGCAACCCUUAUCCUUGUUUGCCAGCACGUAAUGGUGGGAACUCCAGGGAGACUGCCGGUGAUAAACCGGAGGAAGGUGGGGACGACGUCAAGUCAUCAUGGCCCUUACGAGUAGGGCUACACACGUGCUACAAUGGCGCAUACAGAGGGCUGCAAGCUAGCGAUAGUGAGCGAAUCCCAAAAAGUGCGUCGUAGUCCGGAUCGGAGUCUGCAAUUCGACUCCGGGAAGUCGGAAACGCUAGUAAGCGUGAAACAGAAUGUCACGGUGAAUACCGGCCCGCGCC
rnacentral:rRNA from 1 species